rnacentral:tRNA from 1 species
GAGGGCAUAGCUCAGUGGUAGAGCACAUGCUUAGCAUGCAAGAGGUCCUGGGUUCAAUCCCCAGUACCUCCA